UUUAGAGAAGUAAAUAGAGUUACAUGUCUUUUGAUUCCAGUUUCUUAUUCUUGUUUUUGGUUUUAAGAAGAUAUAGCAGAUUUUGCAUGAAGAAGUGUCAGAUUUAUUUGAAUAUUUAUGCGUUUUUUUAAUGUAAUGACUUUGCUAGGAAGAAAUGGAGCGGUCGAAAAUUAUUAAGCGUUGCGUGUGUUUUUAUGAAGAGAUGAGAUCCAAGCAUGAAGAUUUGAUAUUGUUCUUUGUGCUUACGUUAUUUGUUUACUUUAGGGAUAGAAGUAGUGGCCAACUGUCGUUAGGCGGAAGAAUGAAUAGUAGAAUUAGACGUGAGGCUUUAGAGCGUAUUGUUGGUGAGGGUGAUAGGAAUUAUAUCUGGAAGUUGAGAAUGAACACAAAUUCCUUUGCUAAUUUGUGUGAGUUGCUCGAAGUUCAAGGAGGACUUAAAGAGGAUGGUCAUGUAAGCUUGCCGGAGCAGGUUGCAACUUUCUUAAUUAUCUUAGCGCAUCACAAAAAAAAUCGUAGUCUGUAGGUUAGAUUUUGUAGGUCCGGAGAAACAGUUAGUAAGUAUUUCAAUAAAGUUUUAAAGGCCGUUAUACGUAUUCAAAGCAUUUUGUUUGCCAAGGCUACAUCAGUUGAAGAGGAUUGUCUUGACCCCACAUGGAGAAGGUUUAAGGGUUGCUUGGGAGCAUUAGAUGGCACUUAUAUAGAGGUGACAGUCUCUGAGUCUGAAAAGGCAAGAUAUCGAACAAGAAAGGGUAAAAUAUGCACCAAUGUCUUAGAAGUGUGUAACCGGGAGAUGGGUUUUGUUUAUGUACUCAGUGGAUGGGAGGGAUCGUCACCUGAUUCACGGAUACUUCGAGAUGCAAUAACUCGUCGUAAUAGUCUUAAGAUACCCCACGGUAAUUACUAUUUAGUUGAUGCUGGUUACACAAAUGGCCUGGGUUUCUAGCACCGUAUAGAGGCACUCGAUAUCAUAUUAGAGAGUGGGCCCAAGGAGUACGUGCACCUCGCAAUUACCAAGAAUAUUUUAAUAGGGUUCAUUCUUCUGCUAGGAAUAUUAUUGAGCGAUGCUUUGGUUUGCUGAAGAAGAGGUGGUCAAUCUUAAGAAGCCCUAGCUUUUACCCUCUAAAGACACAAACUCAAAUAAUUAUUGCUUAUUGUUUGCUACAAAAUUUUAUUCGAAAGAGUAUGGAUAUAGAUCCAAAGGAGCAAGGUAGCAUAUUGGAUGAAUUUAUGCCUGAUGGAGAUGAAGCAUAGGACGGAAUGAUUGAUGUGGUUGAAAACACGAACGAGUGGACACACUGACGUGACAACAUAGCAACUGAAAUGUAUGAAGAGUGACGAACAAGUCGUAUGGAGUAGAAAUAGCUUAAUUUGUGUUUGAGCAGAAUAAUGAACAUUGUAAUCGAUUAAGUAGUGAACAUUGUAAUAUCACCAUUUUAAUUUGUAAGACUUGUUGUAAAGGGAAACAUUGUAA